rnacentral:pre_miRNA from 1 species
GGGGGGAGGCCGGAUCCUGGGCUGUGUCCCGGCGCCCUGUGCUCCGGAGCCUGCGCUGUUGGAUUCGCGCUCCCGGGCCGCAGCCCCCU